rnacentral:sRNA from 1 species
UUUGCACUAACUUCAGGAACCAGCUCAUGAUCUCACGAUGUAUGGAAAAAUAAUCUUUGUAUUACUAUUGUCAG